AUAUCUAUGGUGGCGACCGGCGCACGGGUGCGUAACGCGUAUGCAACCUACCUUUAACAGGGGGAUAACACUGAGAAAUUGGUACUAAUACCCCAUAAUAUCAUAGAAGGCAUCUUUUAUGGUUGAAAAUUCCGAUGGUUAGAGAUGGGCAUGCGUUGUAUUAGCUAGUUGGUGGGGUAACGGCUCACCAAGGCGACGAUACAUAGGGGGACUGAGAGGUUAACCCCCCACACUGGUACUGAGACACGGACCAGACUCCUACGGGAGGCAGCAGUGAGGAAUAUUGGUCAAUGGACGCAAGUCUGAACCAGCCAUGCCGCGUGCAGGAUGACGGCUCUAUGAGUUGUAAACUGCUUUUGUACGAGGGUAAACGCAGAUACGUGUAUCUGUCUGAAAGUAUCGUACGAAUAAGGAUCGGCUAACUCCGUGCCAGCAGCCGCGGUAAUACGGAGGAUUCAAGCGUUAUCCGGAUUUAUUGGGUUUAAAGGGUGCGUAGGCGGUUUGAUAAGUUAGAGGUGAAAUUUCGGGGCUCAACCCUGAACGUGCCUCUAAUACUGUUGAGCUAGAGAGUAGUUGCGGUAGGCGGAAUGUAUGGUGUAGCGGUGAAAUGCUUAGAGAUCAUACAGAACACCGAUUGCGAAGGCAGCUUACCAAACUAUAUCUGACGUUGAGGCACGAAAGCGUGGGGAGCAAACAGGAUUAGAUACCCUGGUAGUCCACGC
rnacentral:rRNA from 1 species